rnacentral:rRNA from 1 species
AUUGAACGCUGGCGGCAUGCUUUACACAUGCAAGUCGAACGGCAGCACAGGGAGCUUGCUCCCGGGUGGCGAGUGGCGCACGGGUGAGUAAUACAUCGGAACGUGUCCUGUUGUGGGGGAUAACUGCUCGAAAGGGUGGCUAAUACCGCAUGAGACCUGAGGGUGAAAGCGGGGGAUCGCAAGACCUCGCGCAAUUGGAGCGGCCGAUGCCCGAUUAGCUAGUUGGUGAGGUAAAGGCUCACCAAGGCGACGAUCGGUAGCUGGUCUGAGAGGACGACCAGCCACACUGGGACUGAGACACGGCCCAGACUCCUACGGGAGGCAGCAGUGGGGAAUUUUGGACAAUGGGGGCAACCCUGAUCCAGCCAUGCCGCGUGCAGGAUGAAGGCCUUCGGGUUGUAAACUGCUUUGUCAGGGACGAAAGGACCGUGUUAAUACCAUGGUCUGCUGACGGUACCUGAAGAAUAAGCACCGGCUAACUACGUG